rnacentral:rRNA from 1 species
CUGGUUGAUCCUGCCGGAGAUACCGUUAUCGGAAUUCGACUAAGCCAUGCGAGUCGAGAGGUGUUAGGCUCGGCGAACUGCUGAGUAACACGCGGCUAACCUGCCCUGAAGUGGGGGAUAACCUCGGGAAACUGAGAUUAAUACCCCAUAGCUGUGGGAUGCUGGAAUGCUUCAACGGUAAAAGCCCCGGCGCUCGAGGAUGGGCCUGCGGCCCUAUCAGGG